rnacentral:rRNA from 1 species
GACGCUGGCGGCGUGCCUAAUACAUGCAAGUCGAGCGGACCAAAGGGAGCUUGCUCCUGGAGGUCAGCGGCGAACGGGUGAGUAACACGUGGGCAACCUGCCUGUAAGACUGGGAUAACAUCGAGAAAUCGGUGCUAAUACCGGAUAAUAAAAAGAACUGCAUGGUUCUUUUUUGAAAGAUGGUUUCGGCUAUCACUUACAGAUGGGCCCGCGGCGCAUUAGCUAGUUGGUGAGGUAACGGCUCACCAAGGCAACGAUGCGUAGCCGACCUGAGAGGGUGAUCGGCCACACUGGGACUGAGACACGGCCCAGACUCCUACGGGAGGCAGCAGUAGGGAAUCUUCCGCAAUGGACGAAAGUCUGACGGAGCAACGCCGCGUGAGUGAUGAAGGUUUUCGGAUCGUAAAACUCUGUUGUUAGGGAAGAACAAGUACCGUUCGAAAGGGCGGCACCUUGACGGUACCUAACGAGAAAGCCACGGCUAACUACGUG